AUGAUUUGCUGGUGGUGUGGCCCUGGCUGCUGCUCGGACUGUCUCUCAUCCUCAGUGCCAUCACACCACCCUUCUGCUUUUUCUCAUCGGCACACUCUCCACCUCUGCGGGUUUUGUCGGCAAGCUGUAAUAUGGACGCUGCAAGAGAACGGUGAUCGGCUUCAUACUCAUCCUCAUCCUCGCACCAGGAUGCGAGCACCAUUGCUACCUGUUCGAAUACAAGAAGAAAAGAGGGGGGAAGAGAGAGGCAGGGCACAAGGACAAAGCUGGGAGCGGAGCAGCAGAACACAGUGUCUGUUGUAUAUGGGUGCAGGCUUGGCACAAACAGUGGCUUUUCUGUAAAACUAUCCCACUCCUCCCAGGCCUCUGACUGGGCUCUCAAUACUGCCUUUGUGCUUUCACAUCACCAGUGACAUUGAGAAGCCAAAUCUAGCAACACCUGGCCCCUCGCAGCCUCUCUAGCACACUCAGUCAGACGCACAGCCCGGGUUCAAGCCGAAAAAGACAUAUGGAGUUUAUUUUGUUAACCAGCUGCAAUAUGGGAAUGGGAUCAGCUCUGAAAAGUGAUGUUUUUCCCUUAAAAAGAGUCACUAAUCUUGUUUUCCGUAAGCUAUCUAUGCUGUCUCAUUUUAAAAGGCAGGAUAUGCUGCAUAAUUGAUGAGCAACUCUUUUUAAAUCUAUUAAAAGCAAUGAUUCCAGUAUUUCUAGGGAGUCCCAGUCCAAAUCAAAUAUUCGAUGCCUUCAUAAGGUUGCUCGCUGAGACACUUUGCAGUUCGGCUGAAAGUAUACUUGCAUUUUGAAUGUCUUGUGCCCUUCAAGCUAUGUUAUGAAUUAAAAUUGUCCACAGAAGAGUCUCAGAAGAUCAAGGACAAACAAAAUUCAAUUACAUUUUAUCAGAGUGCCG
ensembl:lncRNA